UGUAAACAUCCUACACUCUCAGCUGUGGAAAGAGAGAAGGCUGGGAGAAGGUUGUUUACUCU
rnacentral:pre_miRNA from 1 species